UUUUUUUUUUUUUUUUGAAUUAGGUCAGCUGGGAUUUUCAAUAGUUUGCCUUGUUUCUGCGGGACCCGACUCCUCCACCACCCUGAAUUAUCAGUGUCCCCACCCACCCCUUCCCCCGGCCUCGUGAUAUGUUUCUUGUACUACAUCAUGCAAAUUUUUCUAUUGAAUUGAUGUCCUUUUUUGUCACUUUCUUCCCCUUAUCCAAUUAAAAAGGUUUGGUUUUUUAGUAAAUUAGUCCCUAACAAUUUUCAUAUUGAUUCCUUUCUUUUUGUCAAAAAUGGCCUCUAAAUUACUAAUUUUUUUUAUCUCAUUUUACUUAAAAAGUAUACAACAUUUAUUAAGAAUGUGUCAUGUAUCCUAUUUUUAUUAGCUGACAUAUUUUUUUAGUGAUUGAGACAAAAUUAACCACCUAAAAAAAACUUCUAAGAAUAAAUCGGAAAAGUAAAAUAUAGUUAGAUGUCAAUUACUACCUUAAAUAUUAUAUCACUUAAGGGAGGAGAAACGAUCAUCAGAGAUUAACCUUUCCCUAUAUUAUUUUAUUUACAAUGAUUUUUAAAAAAAAUUUUAAGUUGGUAAGCAAAAUGGCACGUUUAUAUAUAUAUAUAUAUAUAUAUAUACAACACCACAAAGGUAAUACUUUUUCUUUUAAAAUGAAACUUAAAUUAUUUUGUAAUCACAUUUAUUGAAUUAAAAAAUCAUAAUUAUCGUAUAAUCUCUCCAUCUUCUAAUUGAAUAUGAGCUUUGCUUCGUAGUCUAAUUGUUAAAAGAAUAUUAGUUUUGAUUUCUUUUUCAUUGAAAACAACUCAAUUCGAUAAAAACUAAUUUUACUCGAUUAAUUUUUUAAACAUGUUAAGAUAACAAAUAUCAAAAGAUAAGUCCUUAAAUAUAAUUUUCUAUAAAAAACUAUUGGAAAAGAUAAUUUCUUUUAUCUAUACUAAUAUUUAAUAUUCUUAUUGAUUUGAUGUCACACUUUAACUAAGUCCCAAUUUAGUAGAGAAUAAGUCUCUUAUUUUUAUAAAACAAUAUAUUAUUUUAAAGGUAAUUUUAUCUUUUCAUAUAAAUGUAAAAAAUAUUUGUACAUGAUUAUAUUCAAACUCAAAACAUCAUAACUUUUAUUUAUUUAACUUUACCAUUUCAAUCAAUGCCAUAUGUAAUAAUUAUAUCAAUUUUUUUAUGUUUAUUAUAUAAUUUUUUCACUCAUGUCAUCACAAUACUAUAAUAUAGCAUUAUCUAUUAUCUUUUAAAUUGUAAACCAAUCCAAUUUAAAUUAAAUUAAUUAUUUUUAUCAUUAAUUUAAGUAUUGUUAAAAAUACUUUUUAGCUUUAUGAUAUUUUAUAUUUAACUAACUUUUACUAAUGAAAGUUAUAACACUUACUUUUCAAUAACAGGCCAAGCAAAUUUUAUAAUUCAAUUCAGUUCAGUAUUUAUUAAAUUCAAUAAUAGACAUUCAACAAUUAAAUUUGUAAAACCUAACUUUUUAAUUUAUCAAAUAUUACUUAAAUAUGUUUAAGGUUAUUUGUUUAAGUCUAAAAUUUUACUUGAAAUCUGAAAAGAUUUAGACAAAAAUUUUAAACAUUAAAAAUGAAUUUAAGCAAAAAAAUUAAACCCUUUAAAAUAUGAGUUGAAAUUAGGUUAUAAUAUUCAAGUCCAACCUUAGCUUUUUUUUCAAACUUAUAUUAAGUUUAUUUUAUUUUAUACAUUUUGUAAUCCACAUUACAUGAAAGUAAACAUAUCAUGCUAUUAUGUAAAUGUUAAAAAAAUUAUUAAUUUGAAAAUAUUGAAAGCUAUAUUUUUUUAGUCGAAUUGAAUAAUUUUAUAUUAUAUUGAUACCCUAGUUAACUUGGUUUAUUGAUAGCUUAUUAAUUAUUGAUGUUUAUGUUAAACAUUUUAAGGGGGAUUUGAUUGAAGUAAUAUAAGAUUAUGUUUCGUAAUAGAAUUACGAGAAUGUAAUAUUACUGGUGAUAUGUUAUAUUACUGUGUUUGUUUCAUUUGGCUGGAAUGUAAGUUUCGGGUGUUUAGUUGAUAGAAUGUAAGAUUACCUAGAAACACAUUUUACUAAACUGUCUUUGUUAUAGAUUUAUUUAAUUUAAUAAGUUUAAUUCCUUUAAUACUUUUGAAUUGACAAGAAUACCGUUUAUUUGUCAUUAUAUUAAUAAUUUAUUAGCAUUAUUAUGUGAUAAUGAUAAAAGUAGUAUAAAUUAAUAUGAUAGUAUUUUAAUGUGAAAUUAAUUAAUUUGGUCAUAUCUUUUGAAAGGUCUACUUAAAAAAUAUCAUAAUAUAUUAUAAAUCUGUAGAAUCAUAAAAUAUGAUUGGAUAAAUUAAAAUUAAUAAAAAUCAAAUUUCUUUAAUUAAAAAAUAUAAUUUUAUAUAUAAAUAUGAUUUUAUUUUAAAUAUGAUAUUAUCAAGAUAUUUGUAAUAUAAUCUAUAAUGUAUAAAUUUAUUUAUUUAUUCUUAAUUUAUAUGUCAAAACUCAAAAGAAAAUAAAUAUAUUUUACAAUUAUAUCAAAUAUUAAUUACAUCUAAUCAGACUGGUUCGAUUUAACACAAAUCCCCACUCGACUUAGUAUUUAGUAUUUUGUAUUAUCUAUGUUUCUUUUUUAUUUUAAAUCUAUAAAAUCAAUAACAUAAUAUAAUAUAGUAAUUAUUUUAUUAAUAAUAUUUUAAUUAUCAAUGUAAUAAUUAUUAUCACUUAAUUGGACUUUGGUCCAAUAUUACGUUACACAUAUUAUUUUAAAUUAAUUAUUUCUUAAUUAGUGUUACAAUUAUAUACCAAUUAAAACUAAUAUUUUAGCAUAUACCUAUGCAUUAGCAAGAUAUUUUCAUUCAAAAUAGCAUCUAAAGAAUUACUGGAAAAAUCAUUUUUAGCAUUAUUUAAUAGGUUUUGUUUCCAACGCCAAAAAGGUAUAAUUUUUGUUAUUGUUUGAUAUGUUUACUUGGUAUUAUUUGAUAUUUGAUAGUUUUACUAUUAUUUUAUUUUAAUAAUAUUUCAUAAUUGUGAAUGUUAUUUAUCAUUAUGUUGUGAAAUAUAAUGUCAAAGGCAAUAAAGUAUUAAAGUAAUGGUUUUUUGUAGGUGAAAUUUUGACUUAUAUUCAAUUGACAAGUUAUUUUAUGCAAUUACUUAAUAUUUUACUACUGAUUAUUUCUCACGUUUUUUUUUUCAUUAACUUUUAAAAUGUUAUUUUAUUCUCUUAGUUAUUUUUCAAAAUUAAUAGGCCUUUAUUAUAAAUUAGAAAAAAAAUUAUUUAAUUAGUAGAUAUAUUUUUUAAAACUAUAAAAAUAUAUUAUUUAAUAAAUUUUAAAAAAAUAAACAUGUAAAAUUACGUGGAACAUAUGUGACAUGGUGUAACACCCCAUAUUCGGCCUAGACGUUAAGACCAAGUCUGGAGGCUACAUCAAACGUUUAAGAAACACCAACCUUAAAAUAAUUUAAAGUUUGUCAUUUAGAAAACACCUAACCAGUCAAGCCAACGUGGAAAUCCGAGCUUACAAACCGUAUUCCAAAAUAAAGCAUAUGUUAGUUCAAAUUUAAACAAACUAUAAAAUAUCUAUAAAAAAGAGAUGGCCGAGCUCCCGACAUGCCGAGCCUCUUAAGUUUGUGGGUUACCUGCAAUGCAGAACAAAUAGAAUAAGCUAAUAACUCAACGUGUGUAACCGAUAUAUAGGCAAGACAAACAAUAUAGAUAUAACAAUAUUUUCCCAAAUUUAGAUACAUAAUUAGAAAUAGAUGAUACUCAGUAAUACCAUAACAGUUUAGAUGUAGAUGCAAAAUAGACCAGAUACAGAUGCAGAACAUAAUAGAUACAGAUGCAGAACAAAUCAUAUACAAAUGCAAAACAUAUUAGAAUCAUAUACAGUUUCUAACUCCCAUCCACUACACACAAUCUCCAACCAUCUCCGACCAUUCCAACACACCACAUAGGGUAUCAAAUACCCAACUAGCCCUACACACCAAUUAGUGUCAGUAUGACACAUUACAGCUUGAUUACAGACUAGUUAUUAGAUCACUAUGCGAAAAAUCACUAGAAUCAGAUACAGAAUUGUGGCUUAGCCACUCAGUUCAGUAGAUCAUUAAACUGCACGCACUUCCUUCUUUAUACCAUUCCCACCCAAUGCAGAUGCAGAUUACAAAUAUCAUAUAUCAGAGAUGUACAUACAGUUAUUUAAUUUCAAUUCAUAAUCAGAUAAUACAUAUUAAUAUCAAUUAACAGUUAUCGCAUCAAUUAUACGUACAAAUAAUCAAUUAUUUAGCCUCAGAAUAUUGAAUAUCAAUUUAUAUAGUCUAAUCCAGAUUAUAAGGACCCUAUAGAAGGCCUACGUUCAAUUCGAACGAUGCUUACGACCCUAAGGAAAAUUUUAGUAUUUUGGCCCACACGUCCGUGUAGAUUCACAUAGCCUGGGUUUUUGGCCGGUGUGGCUCAAAAUAGUGAGUUACACGGUUUGGCACAUGGCUAAGCACACGCCCGUGUGACUCACAACCCUUCACACGACCUGGACACACGCUUGUGUCCCUGGCUUGUGUGGCCCUAAAUCCAAAAUAGCGAGUUACACGACCUAGACACACACUCAUGUCCCUAGCUCGUGUGACCCAAAAUACAAACAUUGAGUUACACGGCCUGGAUACAUUCCCGUGUCCCCAGCCCAUAUGCCUCUAAUUCAUAAACAAUGAGUUACAUGGUUUGCCACAUGGCUUGUCACAUAGCUAUGUGGCUCACAUGGCCUACCACACAGCCUGGCACAUGAGCGUGUGACAUUGAUAUCCAUGUUUUCCAGCUUUUGAAAAUGAUAGAAAAUCGGGUUUUCGGCACACACCUAAUGUAGAUUUGACAUAGAAGCAGCAGAGAACACCCCAAAACCUAAAAAUGGCAACCAAUUUACCAAUUCAGAAGAAAUAACCACAUCAAAUGCUAAAUUGACAAUCAAACUAACUACGUCAAAAACUUCGACGCAAACCCCCGGAGUAAAACUAUUUGCUUACCAACACUCUAACAGCAAUUAACCGAAACUAAACCGAUGAAGGAUUGCUCCUCUCGAUAUCUUCACCUAACAAGGAAGCAAUUUGAACAAUCAAACCAUAAAUUCAAGCAGAAAACCAUUUUGACAAAACUUAAUCGAAAACAAGUGAAACAUGCAAAAACAACAAGAAACUACAAACGAUUAAUGUAACAAACAAACUAGAGUCAUCAGUUACCACCGACAACAAUAUUAUAACAACAAUUGAAUGAAAGAAGGAAACAAGAAAAAAAAAUGAGAAGGAGAAGGGAACGUCACUUUAACUGAUUAAUUUUGAAAAAACAAAAAAAAACUAAAUGAAAUAAAUAAAUAAACCUAAAAUGGUUUACUCAAAGGCGUAAAAAUCAUUUCCUCAUUGCAUGCACAGGGACCUAAACACUAAACUAGAGAAGAUACAUAAAAGUUUAACCAUCGAAUCAGCAGGCUCAUUCUUGACAUGGAUUCACACAGAAAUAAACAUUAAGUCCAACAUUCAAAGGUAAGGGUCAAAUCAAGCAAAACAAUAAAAUUCCCAAAAAUGAGAUUUGACCCCUACCCUCCAACACACAAGAAGAGCACUUAGAUACAGACACAGAGACUUAAUUAUAUCAAAAUUUAACAAACAACACUCAAAAUUUUGAGGCGUUACACAUGGAAACUAGUUAAUAUAUAUGGUGUUAGAAAUAAAUUUAUAAAUCACAAUUAUAACAAUUUAUUAAAUGUGAAUGCAUCACCAACUAUAAUUAUAAUUAUAAUAAUAAUUAAUAUACUAAUAAAUAAAUUAUCAGAGUAAAUAUAAUAAUUAUAAUUUUAAAGUCUGAUAUGUAAAGAAUUUUUUUAAUUUAGUCUAAAUUAAUUAAAAUAACAAAAAUAAAAGGUAAAUUAGUUUAAAAUUUAAAAUUAUACUAAUAAUUUUAGAUAACUUAAUGAAAUGAACAUCUUAUAUUAUAACAUUAUGGAUGUUAAAAAGGUAAAAUAUCCCCAGCAUCAAUCACGAGAUCUUAAUUAAUGUGUUGGGGUCUUGCAUGCUCUGCUACCUUAGUAAUGAAACCAUUGUCCACUCAGCCUUAAAGGACAAUUCCGCCAUUUAAAAGAUUAUAAUAGAUGCAUUAAGGUAUAUGUAUAUUGGUAAGAUGAAAUAUUGUAUCUCAAUUUUAUGGUCUAAAAAAUUAAUUCCUUUUAAGUUUUGUAAUUGUUUCCCACGAUAAUGAUUAAAAAAAAAACUUAAAUAGUUAAAAAUAUUUGUUCAAUAUAAAAAAUUAAUUAUUAAAAUAUAUUUUUAGUUCAUAUAAUAGCAUAAAAAAUAUUAUAAAAAUAGGCAAAUUUGAUUUAAUUCUACAAUAAUACAAUUGAAUCCUUCCUUAAAAAACCUCGAGAAACAUUUGCAGAUGUCAACUUUGUAAUUUUUCACAAAAUCUGAGGGAUUUUUCGUAGUUGAGCAUGCAUAUAAGCCCUUUCCCCCUCAACGAUAAUAUCGUAUCUGUUUCCUUAUUUGUUCUCUCUCUCUCUCUUAUUAGAAAUUAGACACUACUAGACUUGUAGAAAUGCAAGGGCUUGUCUUGUUGUCGGUGCUCCUUUGCGCCACCUACCAUAUCGCUCUUUCCGCGACCAACGUUACGGUGGCGGACGGUAAGAAUUUACAUAUAUAAUAUACAUAUACAUAAACACAGGAGUUUUUACUUUUGAAUUAAAAUUUCGAGCAAAGUAAUUUUGUUUAUUUUGAAAGCACAGUUAAUAAAAAUAAAUAAACAUCUCUACUUUCUCUUCAUGAAUUUUUGGUUGGUAUCAGGAAACGUAGCAAGUAGUAUGGUUAGUUGUUACUCAGUUAAAAAUAGAUUUAAAAUUGUUAUUGUCAUAAAUAAAACCAAAAUUUUAAUAAAAGAAUAUGCUUACUAGGAUUUGAAAGAUUGAACUAAUUAUUUUAUUGGUUUGAUUAAAUCACGAGAGCUUAAUUAAAACACUAUGAUAAGAUACUACACAUAAUACAAAUAUAAUAUAUAAUACAGAUGGGAUCAUUUGGAUAUUUGAUAAUUAGUGUACUGUAGAGUGUAGCAGCUGCAGGAGUUUGUCAGGGAUAUUUUACCGAUAGCCACCGACAUCAAUAGCAAUAAAAUUUACUUGAGCAAGCAAGGCCUUGUUUAAUUAGUCCAAUUGGAUAUAGGAGCAGAUAUUUGGGACGGUUUUGAUAAAUUCCAGUGAUGGACCACAUCACCACAUGAAUCAACCGGUGAAAGCUAUUAGCCUUUUUAGCUUAGCUUACUAAUUUUAGAAAAAAGAUGCCAAAGUUUGCCGAACAGCUUUCUGUUUCUUGCCUGCUUUGGAUUUUAGUGAAGACAGUCUCAGUUUCAAUUGAUUGGAUUAUUGGAUUCAGGGCUGUUAGAUAAUGGUAACUUUGAGCAAGCCCCAAAUGCCUCAAACAUGAAGGGCACGGUUGUUGUGGGGCGUUAUGCAAUACCAGGAUGGGUAAACGAAGGGUUUGUGGAAUACAUAAAGUCCGGGCAAAAGCAAGGGGACAUGUUGCUGGUGGUGCCUGAGGGAGCCUAUGCAGUCAGGUUGGGGAACGAGGCUUCAAUCAAGCAGGAGAUAAAGGUGGUGAAAGGGAUGUAUUACUCCAUCACCUUCAGUGCGGCCCGUACUUGUGCUCAAGAGGAGCGUUUGAACGUGACGGUAGCACCCGAUUCCGGUGUGAUGCCCAUCCAGACAGUGUAUAGCAGCAGCGGUUGGGACAACUAUGCUUGGGCAUUCAAAACACAAUCUGAUGCGGUCAUGUUGAUUAUUCACAAUCCUGGAGUGGAGGAGGAUCCUGCUUGUGGACCACUCAUCGAUGCGGUAGCUAUCAAGGCUUUAUAUCCUCCCAGACCCACCAACAGUAAGCCUUUCUUCACCUUGACAUCGAUAAAACUUUAUACAUAGACAUUGAGUGGUUCAGUGUAUCAAGUACAAGCUUUUACUUCCAAAGGAUUAAGCCGAUUAACUAUCAAAGCUACAAUUGAAGGCAGGCACGGUUGAUUUGAUCUGUCAGACGACUUCAUUUAAGAAACUACCCAACACCUUGGUCCAGUUGCACAUGAUACUGAAUGCUAUUGUUUCACUAAAAUUUCAAUUUUGUAUUGUUGCAGAGAACAUAAUGAAAAAUGGUGGUUUUGAAGAAGGUCCUUAUAUAUUCCCCAACACUCCAUGGGGUGUCCUAAUCCCACCCAACAUUGAGGAUGAUAAUUCUCCUCUCCCUGCCUGGGUAGUCGAAUCCCUCAAGGCCGUCAAGUACAUCGAUUCAGCCCAUUACUUCAUGCCUCAAGGCCGAAGAGCCGUGGAGCUAGUUGGUGGAAAAGAGAGUGCAAUCGCUCAAAUAACAAGAACCAUUGUUGGCAAGACAUACAGGCUCUCCUUCUCGGUGGGCGAUGCUAACAACUCCUGUGCAGGUUCUUUGGUCGUCGAGGCAUUCGCCGGUAAAGCCACACUCAAAGUCCCAUACGAAUCUAAAGGGACUGGUGGAUUCAAGCGAGCUGCACUUAGAUUCGUGGCUGUUUCCAACAGGACAAGAAUUAUGUUCCUUAGCACGUUCUACACCAUGAGAAGUGAUGACUUUUCUUCUCUAUGCGGUCCUGUUGUUGACGAUGUGAAGCUUUUGAGUAUUCGUAACCCUUGAUCAUCACCGACCUUGUUCGGGGCUGUUGAUGAUCCAUUGUUGGACGUGGUCUAUCAACAUUUUGUCUUCCUGAGGAUGAUUUUUUUUUUUUUUUGGUUCUUUGUGGGCUUGGAAAAUCAAAGGUUUUCGUGUGAGCUAAAGCUAUAUGUUGUGGGGAAAAAAGAACCUAGGCUAUAUAUUAAUCCAACAAAAUAAAGUAUAUACAUAUAUAUAUAGACUAAUAUCAGGGAGUAUACUAGUGUGAUUUUAUUACGUGUUUAAUUAUGAAUUAUACCAUAAUAAAUGCGAAAAUAUUGGGUUCUCACUUUCAUCUUUUUCGCUGCGUAUUGUAUUUAAUGAAAGAUUAUCCUUAUAAAACCUUAAUUACUGAAUAAUUUUGCACUAGCUGGUAUUCUCCACAUUAAGCCUCCAUUUGGCUGGGUAACAAACUGCAUUGCAAAGAUUUUUAUUUGCAUUAGCUUUAUUCAGUUUCAAUUGCAUCCUUGGGCUAUUUGAACAUGCCAUAAAGGCCUUUCCCUUAAACAUACGUUGAAUCCAGGCAAUACACAAAGACCAUAGACCAAAUACGUUGAACAAUAAAUGGAACAUAUAUACUAGAUUUGUAGUUAUCUUAUCAUUGACAAAUUAUACAUUCUAUGUACGCUUUGGAUAAAGAUUAGAUUAAAGAUGAUAUCGAGAUAUAGAUGAUUUGAAUAAAGAUGAUUGGAUAAGAAGAAUUAUGGUUUGGAUAAGCUUGAUUCACUGCAAUUUACACUCCAAACCAUGGAAGUGUUGCUAUUUACCUACUUAAUAGAUUCCCAACUAAUGCUUUGAAAGAAAGGAUUACAUACGAGAGUUGGUUUCGCAUUAAACCUUCCUUCAUCUUCCUAAAAUAUUUAGAAGCAUUUUGGCCUGACACAAAUCGUAGUGGUAAUUUAAGUAUUUUUCGGCACUUAACGAAUUUGUUUUCUAGUUAUUUUAGUAUUUUUUUAUUGCAUAUUCAAUUUUCUUAGCUUAGAGUUAAACUAUUGCAAAAUAAACGUUUUUAUGUAAUAUUUCGAGUUAGUUGACUCAUUGGGUCAAUAUCGGCCUUAAGGUAGUUUUGAUGCUUUAAUCGAGUGUGCAAGACACCUAUUUUUAGGCCCAAAAGUAUCAGGAACGAAAAUCGAGUCGCAACACAAGCUUCUGGGAUCACAACACGACCGAGCCAAUUCAAGAAGUAACAUUCGAAGUAGUGUGCCACAACAUGCACUAGCCUAUGUUACGACACAGGUCUCACAGAGGGCAAAAAUUCAUCAAGGGUGUUUCCAUCCGCACAACCCAUAUUUAGUGUGAUUAAGAUUUGUAUUUGACCUAAUUGAGCAACUAACUUUGCUUAUUUAUAGUUAAACAUAAGUUAACCUUAGGAGCUUUUUGACAAGCUAUUUAUAGGGUUUAGUUAGUAGAUUUAGGAUUUCAAUUUAGGUUUAAUUUUCUUUUAAAAACAAUUUUACUUCUUGCUCUUCGACUUGGAUUCAACUUGAGUCCAAGUCUUCGUUGUUAAGUAUUUUCAUAAUUUUCCGUUAUGUUUCUCUUGAAACGACAAUAUCUCGAUAACUGUUAAAGGAUUUCAUGGAUCCGAGCACAUCAAGAUUCUCAAAUUGAUCAAUUUCUAUCUUUAUUUCUUUUAAAUUAAAUUGUGUUUUUGCAUGAUUAACUUAAUUGUAAGGAAGAUGAUUAUUGAAUCGAUGAGUGGUUAAGUCUUUUAGGGAGAUUAACAAGCAGAUGUGUGAGUGAUCAAUGGAAGAAUGAGAGUUUUCCAUACGAAUUAGUUGGUAUACAUUUAUGUGUGCUUAAACCCUUAGAUUGACAUCCUUAGGAAGUAAUCUAGGUUAAACAAGAUCAAGAGAUAAGUUUUUCAAGUAAAUCGUAAUUUAUCCCGGUCACAAAAGUGAGAUCGAGAGAUAAGUGAGUACUGGUCAAUUAAUUAACUGGUAGAGACCAAGAGGUAAUAUCAGUUAGUUAAUAACUAAUUCACUAAUAAAACCCAAAUUUUGGAGUUAAUUACAACCACUGAAGUGAGCUAAUCUUUUGCUUGUUAUUUGAGAGUUUUUUGUUUGUCAACUUCGUUUUAGUAGUUUAGUUUUUAUUUUAUGACCUUAAUCUUUAGUUUUAAUUUUCGUAAUAUAAAUUUUAGUGUUUACUAUUUAGACUUGCUAUUAUAGAUAUAUUUUAGAUUUAAUUUAUCCUACUUUGGGUACGGUCCUCGGAAUACUUCCUGGUGUUUCGUUGUAACACAAAACUAUAUUACAAUUUGACCUGUUUGCUUGUAGAUACCGCACUUCAUUAGAUAUUUUAUUUGCACGAUUUUUCCUCUAAACGUUCCCAUGUUUGGAGGCGGUUACGUUGUUGGCGUCGUUGCCGGAGUGGUUUCAACAUUAAAUUUUAUUUUAUUUUUUGCAAUUAGUACGAUAAAUAGGAAAAUUAAAAAUUAUUGAUAAAAUUUUUACUUUCUUUUAUUUUUGUUGUUUUUAAUUUUAAUUUUGUUUCUAAUUUCAGUAUAUGACCCGAAGUGGAAUCACUCCAAUUGAGCCACAUCCUUAUUCGAAGUAAUUUCUGAGACGAUAAAAAUAAUCCUUGGGUAAACUUGGUUCAAACCAGUUGGUUAAAACCUAGAAUUGCUAAACUAGUUAUUACCAAACCCCAGUUUGAAAUCAAUCUCGCAUUACUAACUUGGGUGACCAUGAACUAGCAAUUUGGUGAUGAUAUCGACAUUGAUUUGGUGGCAUUUCUGAGAGGAUUUAAAUAGAUUUGCAGUACAGUUGGGUAUCCUGUAAUUUCAGAUGAGGCAAUCAAAUUACUCUAGAUUCCUUUCGCACUUAGAGGUCAGAUAGAGAAUGGUUAGAGGCAUUACCACUAGAGACUAUAACAUCCUGGGAAGAAUUUGUAAAAUUAUUCUUACACAAGCUCAUACCAAGGCCUUCUGUGUUAAAGACUUAAGCCAAACUCCUCAAAUUCAAGCAAUAACCAACCGAAAACAUUGGGACAAGCUUGGGAUAUAUUCAAGUUAAUCCUUUAGAAAAUACUUGGAUGCGACAUUGAUCUAGCCGUUCAAUUGUAACACUUUAUGGAGGCCUAGAUUAGUAUAGAAAAAGGACAGUUUGAUAUUGUGGCUGAGGGAAGUAUUUGGACAAAGACAACCCAUGAGAUAGUUGUUCUUGACCUGCCAUGAAUUACACUAUUAUUUACAUCCUUUUUACACAUAAUUUUAGCUUGUUUAAUAGUUAAAUCAAAGCAUCUUAAUAUAUAUUUAGGUUUUUAUACUUAAAGUAGUAAUUUAUGUUUUCUAGUAGUUUUUAUUACAUUUUAUUUAUCUAAAUAAGGUUACAUGGUCUUGUAGGUCAAGUUGAGAGCUAAAGAUGCUUAUUCGGGCCAAAACUGAUGCAUAUGUCACGACACCAAGACAUUGAUGUCUCAACAUCGAAGAUAGAAGCCAAAAACAAGUUCUAGAGUGAAAUUGCCCUCAAUGCCGCAACAUGAUCCUCCUAUGUCGCAACAUACCACUUGUGGUUGGUUGCAACAUCACAAGCCUGUGUUGCAACCAAAGCCCUGCGUAACCCAAAAACUCCUGCACGUUUUAUUUACAUUAUUUAGGGAAAUUAGGAGUAUUUGUCCUAGUCGAACUCUAAGGACUUCAAGAAUAUUUUAGGCACUUUAAUAUUCCAACUUUAGCCUAUAUAAAGGCCAUUGUAAUCAGUUUAAACACACAAUUUUUAGGGAGGCAAAAAAUAUACUUAGGGCUUUUAUUUCAUUCUUAGUAUUUUAUGUUCUUGUAAUCGAAAGAUCCUAUUCCGAAGUGAGACUCUUACGAGUAGAGAUUGUUCCAAAGCCAUGCUUUCAUCAAUAAAUCCAUGAGCAUCUAUUUUCCUUUAUUCUAUUCUUUAUACCUAUUUCAUUAACAUUGCUUAAUUGAAUGUUUGUGUAAAUAUUAGAAUUAAUUUAUGCUUUAUCCAUAUCUCUCAUGAUUUCAAUUGUUAUAAUCUUAUUAAUUGAUUGAAUGAUAGAAUAUCUUAGCGGAUAAGCUAUUUGGGAGAGAAAGAACCUAAACCCUAGGCUUGGCAAUCAUAGGAAGUCAUUUUGGUGAGAAUUAACCCAAAAUUGGUAUGACCUAUCUGUGAACACCUUAACCCCGAAUCGGUCUGGAUUGUAAGGUCGGAAGAUAAGUAGUUUUUGCCGACUCAUUUUUCUAGUGGACGUAUUGGAAGAUCCUACUAGGGUAUCAACAGUUGAUUGAUUAGAACCCUACAUCAAUAAUAAAAUAGGUAAAACAAUUGGAUCUAGGUUAAAUGAACUCGUGUAGUCGAAACAAGGGAUAGGAGAAGUCGAUACAUGAACUUAGGAGUAGAUUUAGGUUUAGUUCAAUUUAUUUAGUUUAUUAAUAUUAUUUCAUCUUUUUUCCACAUUAAUACUACUAAUUUGUGACUCAAGUAGAUUAAUAACUAUUUCCCGUAAUUGGGUUGAUAACAGUCCUCCCCAAACUGUAAUUCCUUGGGUACGAUCCUCGAAAUACUUACCUACUUGUUGUAACUAUAUUACAACCUGACCUGUAUACUUGUGAACACCGCCUCAAUUCUAUAUAUUUUUUAGCAGUGUUCACACUUUGGACGUUAGUACAUCUGAAGGCGAUCAAUUCUCCUAGAAAAAGCAAGCACAACGAUCACACUUGGGGGCUGAUCAGAGUACCAAAAUUGGUAACUAGGCUAAUAAAUGUCAUUGAAAAAGAAUCAAUGGUUGAUAAGGAUAAUUCAAAAACGAGUAAGGAAUAGUCAAGAGAUGGUGAUUCUUACAUUUUUUAUUCAGACAAAAUAAUAGAGGAAGAAUUUUUAGAAGACUUUGAGAGAUCAAUUGGAACAUAUUUAUCAUCAAACCCUUGAGUCAACCAGAAAAUUCAAUGACAAUCUUGGUUUCAUUAAUCAUCAAACCACAAAAUUGGAACGAAAAUUACAGUCAACACAUUUAAAGUAUAGGUAUUUAGGCACUAACAAUACUUUACCAGUUAUCAUCGUUGCUAGUUUACUAGUGGAUCAAGAAAAGGCGCUAUUAGAGAUGCUCAAGACACAUAAAAAAGCAAUUAGGUGGACUAUUGCUGACAUCAAAGGAAUUAGUCUGGUACUUUGUUAACAUAAGAUAUGACUAGAACAUGGAAAGAAGCUAGUCAUAUAUGCUUAAAGAUGCCUUAAUCUAACGAUGAAAUAAGUGGUGAAAAAGGAACUUAUAAAAUGGCUUAAUGUAAAGAUUAUUUACCCCAUAUCUAAUAGCGAAAGGGUAAGCUCGACACAAUGCAUCCCCAAGAAAAGAGGGCUGAUAGUGGUUGCGAAUGAGAAAAGCGAGUUAAUUUUGACCCAAACUAUAACAAUAUGACUGGUAUGCAUUGACUACAGGAAAUUGAAUGAUGCAACCAAGAAGGAUCAUUUCCCAGUUCCAUUUAUUGAUCAUAUGCUCGAUAGAUUGGCGAGAAGAGAGUAUUAUUGCUUUCUUGACGGGUAUUUAGGAUAUCACCAAAUUCCAAUCCAUCCAGAUGAUCAAGAAAAGGCUACGUUCACAUGCCCGUUUGGGAGUAUGCAUUUCGACGAGUGCUAUUUGGGUUAUGUAAUGCGCUAUCCACAUUCAUGUGAUGUAUGAAUACUAUCUUCGUUGAUAUGUUGUGUAACACCCCUUUCCUAGUCCAGUUGUCGAACCCGAGUAAUAGGAUCCUACGUACAACACUAAACAAUUACAUGCAAUUUGUUUACCAAAAUCUUAAUUAAUUAUCAUCAUAUCACAUAUAAUCAAAUACAUCAUGUAAUUCAAUCUAUUUCGGGUUUAUAUUGAGCAUAUGGAAGCUUAAAACCAACUCGAUAUUAAACAAGGGUCACACAGCCAUGUCCCUUGACCAUGUGGAAAUGCUAAAGCUGUGUGGGAUGGGACACACGACCGUGUAGGCAAACCUUGUAUACUCACUAAGGUCGUGAGGGUUAAAAGUGUAAAUAUUUUAAAAAAUGUCACACAACCAUGUCGCUAGGCCAUGUGCACCAAAAAUCAACCAAAAUCUACAGGCCACAUAAUCGUGUCUUAAGCCAUAUAGGGCACACGCCGUGUGCCAGGCUGUUUACCAAGCCAUGUAUACUUGGAACAUACCUUCCAAAACAAGCUUUAUAACCUUAUUUCACUUAUGCCACAAUCAGCCAAAUAUACCAUAUUACAAUCAAUUCCAAAAUAAUUAUAAUCAUGCCAAAACAUCAUUUACAACAACCAUCCUAAAUGCCUAACCAAUAUGCCAUCAAGACAGCUCAACAUGUUCAACUAAGCAUGCAUCUUCUAACCCUUUAAAGACAUAAUGAAACAUACCAAUUCAAUUAUAAAACAUGCACCAAACUUUCCAUUAAUUGCAAGACCAAAACAAAUGUACCAACCAUCAUUUUCACAUCUAUGCACCAUCCAAAUACACACCUAGCAUAUUAUCUUCUCAACCAUUAAAUCACAUUAAAACAUUAUGCUUAUAUGCCAAACUAUUUCAACAAGAUAAUAUUAACAUAACCAUUUCCAACACAUACAUAUACAUUUAUAUACUUGAUCCUCAAAAUGCCAAGAUAGACCUUCUUUAACCAAUGACACCUUAGGUACAUGACAUGACCAAAAAAAAUCACCAACACUUGAGACCUAGAUUGCCGCUGGAUGCUGAAUUUGACAAUCAAAUAAAAAAGUACCUAACCUGCGCUCGAGAAACAAAACUAUACGCUAAGUAUAACUCAGUGAUAUUUAUAACACCCAUAAUCCAUUUUAUCACUGGAUUAGGGUUAUAGAGUAUUACCGUACAUUUGAGAACAUUUAACAACAAGUAAGAUCAAACUUAUCAAUUAAUUAACAACAUUCAUAAAUCAUUCAAACUAAAGUCAAACAUACACUUAUGGGACUUACAUCAGGCCUACGAGGCCUUAAAAAUAGUUUUGAAACAAUUAGGAACCAAUUUGAAGCAAAUCUAAAAGUUUAGGGAAAAUUGAAAAUUUUCAAAACAGAGGUCACACUGCCGUGUGUCCAGGACAUGGCAGUAUGGCUAUUCCACAUGCCCGUGUGACUACUUCAUAUGCCCAUGUACAUAGACUAUGUAACUAACUGUGCCAUGUAAUAUAAGGUCACACGCUGUGUGGCUAGGCCGUGUAACUCUCUGUGCCCAUGUGGACCAAUCUGCGCCUAACACGUUGUGGGUACACACUUGUGUUGGUUUGCCUGCAUAUGAUACACGACCGUGUGACAGCCCGUGCCCUAGGUCGUGUGUGCUAAAAAAUUACCCAAAACAUUCCAUUUUCACAUCUAAUGCUUAGGUACCUAAACCUACUUACUAACACAUGAUCACAAGGCCUUAAAACACAUUCAGGUGUUACCAAAACAUGCUGAUUCAAUCAAUCAGAGAUCUAACCAAUAAGUCAUCAAGGAAUCCUCAACUGAAUCACUUAACAUUUCAUUACCUAGUUAGACUUCCAAGCUAUCAACACUCAAUCUCAACUAGCAUACAUUAAGAUAACCAAGCUUACCAAUUGACUCACACAACUACAUCCACUUGUGUCUAAGUUGGAAUCAUGCAUACAUAUAUCAAGGAGUUGUAAAACAUAUCAAGAUCAUAAGCAUAACAAGUUAUAUAGCAUAAGCAAUUAUGCAUCUUUACAAACAAACUUAAAUCCUCCUAUUACAUGCCAUAUAAACCAAGUUGUAUUUAAAAUCUGCCAAAAAGGAUCCUCGAAUAGUGUAUUUCUUCGAGUUGAUCCAAUCGCUCAACUAUCCACAAAAACAUAAUCUACAAGGAAAUAAGACAAAUAACACGAGUAAGCUUUUGUAAAGCUUAGUAAGAUCGAUGGUUAAAACGAUAAAGCUUACCAAAUAACAUAGUAAAUCAAAUAAUAAGAUUACUAAACAGAGGUCUUGUCAACCACAGUUCACAAUAGAUGAAUAAUACUCGAACAAUAAUGUAAAUCAAACUUUCGACAUUUUAAUAACAUUUGAUUAUCACUAACACAUUACAGAUGAAUGUUAUACAUAUAUGAGUACACGGUUAACCAUCCAGAAACACACCAACCGCUCACGCGGGCUAAUCCAACUGAUAACACACCUCAGCACUAAGUGCCAAGCCUGUAGGCUAACGGUCACCCCUAGAAACACACCAGAAAACAUUGUAAUAUAACACAAUAUUCCACAACAAAUGCAAGACAUCGGUAUAUUCAAUGGACAGGAGAUAUACAGGAAUCAUCAUCACCUCUCAAACCAAUCUCAUACCGCGCGCAAAAUAACCUAUUGGCAUGCCAAUUGUACCCUAUCCUACGUUCAUUCGGCUCAAGAGAUACUAAUAGUAAUUAGUGCUUUAACAAUCUAUGAGUUCAUUUCUCAUUUACAUGAUAGCCCGGAAAGUGGGAGGGUUGUGGUAAAAAUAUAGGCCCAAAACAUGGACUUGGUCAACAAAAAAAGCCCAUUUAGAAAAUGGGUCAAGCCUCGAGUAAGGCUUUUUUGGCUCGAGCCUGGCCGAAUAUACAAAAAAAGUAUUUUUUUAUUGUUCUUGUUUUUUUUGCUAUUUUCUUGUUUUUUCCCAUUAUUUUGUUACCAUUUCACUACUAUGUUGCUACUAUUUUGUUGUUAUUGUUUGGAUAUUGUAUAAUUUUUGUUUUAUUGUUAAUGUUGUUACUAUUUUAGAGGAAUUUGAUUGUUAAGUUGCACCUAUCUUAGUAUUAUUUAAGUGUAUAUACUUUUUUAAAUUUAUUUUCAAUUUGUAGGGAAACAUUUAUUUUAAUGUUUUUAGUAUUUUGAUGUAUUAUAUAUAUUUUAAAAAAUUAUAUAAAAAAUAGUAUAAAAAUAAUACGGGCGGGCUAGGCCGGGCUUGGGCAACUUUUAGGCCUAUUUUUCAGGUCAGGCCGGGACUAAAUUUUUGGUUGGGCCCAACCCAUGGACACCUCUAAAUGAUAUUAAUACAUUAACCAACAAUCAACAAAUAAGUUUCAUCUAAUAUAUAUAUAAUGUGUUAGAAUUAAUCGAACGAACUUACUAGAUUAAACUGCAGCAAUGACAAGGGUACAUGGACUAUUUCGUAACUUCCUCUUUUACUCGAUUUUUAACUCGUUCCUGAUCUAAAAUAAUAAUUUCAUUCAAUUAACUAAUUCCAACAAUAAAAUUAACUCAUUUUAUGCAAUUAAGUCAUUUUAGACAUUUUUACAAAUUACCCCCACAUUUCACUUUUAUGUAAUUUAAUCCUUAAGUCCAAAACACGCAAUUAAACAAAAUUUGAACUUAAACCCAGCUUAGCCAAACCAUGUAGGAGUUUCUUACAGCCCAUAUUUUCUAUUAUUUUAAUCAAGUACAAACAAUUUUACUAUUUUUACAUUUUAGUCCUUAAAUGUUAAAAUCAUCAAAAACUACUACAAAACAGUCCUAUCUAACAACCAAACUCAAUAAUCUUCCAUAAAGCUUCAUGAUUAACUCUAACUCACCAAUGAAAUAAUCCAUAACAUUUUGAAAUUUUUACAAAUUAGUCCUCGAGUUAGCUAAAUCAAGCUAAUACGAGCUUGAAAACAUAAAAAUCACUAAAAACGAGUGAAAGUUCACUUACCAAUAGGAGACCAAAGCUUGACUGAAGCUCUCCCAACCCUAACAAUGGCUAUUCAAGUUAUCUAGAAUGGAGUAGGAAGAUGGUAUGUUUUAAUUCUUUCAUUUUAUGUUUUAUUUAACUUGAAAUUUGAUAUUUAAAAUUUUACCCUUAACCCUAACUUAAUAAUUCAUUAAACCUUGUCCAAAUUUAUCCACUAUAACUCUAUAUGGUUUAUUUACCAUAAUAGCCCACCACUUCACCAACCUAUAAUAAUUUAACGCUUUUAGAUAAUAGAAACAAACUUUUACGGUUUGGUUCUUUUUACUUAAUUGACUAUCCAAACGUUAAAAUUUCUUAAACAAAAUUUAAUACGACACUAAUGACCUCGUAAAUAUUAAAUAAUUAAUAUUUACAGACUGACACAUCAGAGUUGUGAUUUCGAAACCACUAUUUUUGUCACCAUUGGAAAACGGGCUGUUACAAUAUUUCUAUAUCAGAACUUUAAAUCAUUAUAUAAAUCAUGUAAUGCAUGAAUCAACAAAUGAGAGUUCAAAUGCAAAUUAAUAUGAAUAUCUACAUGUCAAAAUAUAUAUCUCAUUUAUACGAUCAAAUUUUACAUAUCCAAAUCUAUAAUCUGAUAUCCAUUAUCCAUCCUUAUUUCAAUUUAUAAUAAUCAAUUUCUCAAUUACCCAACAUAAAUUUCAUCAACCAAUCAUCAAGUCACAUAUGUUCCAGUACAACUCAUCCCAACCCUAUGCAUGUGAUAUGGCAUACAGAAACAUAAAUUUUCAAUGGGCUUGCUUAACAUCCAAAUCAGAUAUUUAUUACGAGACAGUUCAAUGGGUAUACUUAACCUGCCAAUCAUAUUUCCAUUAACAGAAAUAGUGGCACGAUUUAUUUUUCAUGCUUUUCAGAUAAUGCCACUAAAUCACAUAUAAUGAGUGUUAGAAAAUUAACAUAAUAUCUCAUUUAUCAAUAAGACAUACAAACACAUUCAUAUCAUCACAAAUUAAUCAGUUCAGAAUCACUUACUUGGAAAUCAUCCUUUUUAAUAAAUUUAUCAUCCCUUUUGAAAACAUACCGCAUUUACGUAUAUUCACAUUUCUUAUUACUUAUAAGAGUAUCAAUCAUUAAUAUAUAUUUUAGUUAACAAUUAUUCAUACAGAUUUUGUAUUAAGUUAAAACCACACCUGAACUUAAUAGAUCCAAUGCAACACUAGACUCCUUCAAAUACCCACUCUUGGAUCUAACUAGAUCAAUCACAGAUUUGAGCAUAACACGAUGAUCCAUUAUUAAAACAUUACUAGUUAUUCCUUUAUUAAGAAACAAUUUAAUCAAAAUUUCCAAUCCCACACUUACACUUAUAUGAUUAGAAUCGAAGUUGUGAUUCAGUUACAAAGUUAGGGGUGGUCUAAGUUGAUAGCAAUCGAUCCUUCAACAGAGGAAUAAUACACGAGAUGUUAAUAUGAAAGAUAAAAAAUAUUUAAUACCACUACUAUAUUCGGCCCUUAAUAAAAAUAAUGGGAAAGAAGUGAUGAUCUACUCAAAUCAUCCUAUACUUACAUUAAUAAGAUCGUAUUAGAAAGAUCGGUAGUUCAACGGGGUCUUAACUCGAAGAAGUGAAAAUUAUGAAAAAUCGUCAUUAAAAAAAGAAUGAGUUUGGGAUUUAGUAACAAUUUAAGAAAAUAGAAGAAAAGGGGUAGAAAUCUUAUUAUGACUAUAGAGUUAAAGAGAAAAUGGAAAAUGUAGGAAACUAGUAAUGAUGGUGGUGCAGCAGCGUGACUGUGAUGAUGGUCGUGGAGGUCUAGCGGUGGUGCGGUUAACUAUGGGUAGUGGAAAAUGGAAGAACGGUGGAGCAAAAGGGUAGUUUAUAGGGUAAAAAUGAAGGAAAAAGAUGUGAAUGGUGGCUACUUCUGGUGGGAUGGAUAGUUCAGGGUAGAAAAUUGAGAGGAAAUGGAAAUUUUAGAGGACAAAGUCUUGAAAAAUGGAUCAUGGGGGACAUGUGGAGUGAAAAGGAGGCUAAAUAUAGUAGGUUGACUUACAAAAGGAGGAAAGAAAAUUUUUCCUAUAUGGAAACUAUAGGGGGACGACAUAGGGGUGGUUGCCAAGGUUUUAUAAGCAAAAAAAUUUAAAAAAUAUAUAUACAAGGGUAUGCGUAAUUAAAAUUAUAAGGCUUGAUAUACUCUAAAUCAAGUAAUUACACUUGUGUUGCUUAAGUUGUCUCGAUGCAUAGGCCACAACCUUACCAUCUCGUAUCAACACACAACCAAGACCGGUAUGAGACACAUCAAUGUAAACCACGUAAUCUUUCCCAGACUCGGGCUGAAUAGAAAUAGGUGCUUGAGUCAGCAUAAACUUAAGCUUCUCAAAAACUAGCUUGUUGCUCAUCAGUCCACUUAACAGGUGCACUCGUUCUCAAUAGCUUAGUCAUAAGAGUCGCAAUCAAAGAAAACCCUUUCGCAAACCUCCUAUAAUAUCUAGCUAAUCCAAUAAAACUCUAUAUUUCACUAACAUUCUUAGGCUACUUCCAUUCCGAAAUAGCCUCAAUCUUUUUUGGAUCAACAGAGAUACCCUUAGCUCAUUUUGCAUGACCUCAAAACAUCACUUCACGGAGCUACAACUCACACUUACUCAGCUUAGCAUAAUACUUUUUCUCACGAAGAAUCUGUAAAACAACUCUUAAGUGCUCAAAUUUAGACUUAGAGUAGAUUAAGAUAUCAUCGAUAAAGACCACAAAAAGGUUAUCAAGAUAAGGCUGGAAAACUCGAUUCAUUAGGUCCAUAAAUGCAGCUAGAGCAUUAGUAAGAUUGAAGGGCUCCAUUAGGAACUCGUAGUGACCAUACCGAGUCCUGAAUGCUGUAUUAGGUACAUCAGAUUCCUUCACCUUCAACUAAUAGUAUUUGAAUCGUAAAUCAAUCUUAGAGAAUACCGUGGCACCUCAGAACUUAUUGAACAAGUAAUCAAUCCUUGGAAAAUAGUACUUGUUCUUUACAACAACUUAUUCAGCUGUCUAUAAUCAAUACAAAGUCCCAUAGAUCUCUUCUUCUUAUUUACAAAUAAGAUUGGAGCUUUCUAAGGAAAAGCACUCGGUCUAAUCAAUUCAUGGUCCAAAAGUUCUUGCAACUAUACCUUAAUUUCCUUGAGCUCCUUAGGUGCCAUGUGGUAGGGAGCAAUGGAUACUGGAGCUAUCCUAGGCAAAAAUUCUAUCCCAAACUCAACCUUACUCUCUACGGGUAAUCAAGGUAACUUAUCUGGAAAGACAUCGGGAAACUCCCUCGUUGUAUGAAUAUUCUCCACAGUUGAUUCGCUAACACUCGUGUCUAGAAUGUAAGCCAGAUAGGCCUCAUAUCCCUUAGGAACCAACUUCUUAGCCACUAAAGCGGAGAUCACAUUGGAUAAGUAAUCUUUAUGCUCUCAAACCAUCAGUAUCUCUGUAAUGCCCUAUACGCGAUCCGAUUUGCCGGAUCCGUAUGUCGAACAUUAUGCCCUAUUACAAAUGUAAUUUAAUUUUUUUAUUUUCCUAUGUAGAACUUCUAUCUAUGAGUAUGAAAAUUUUAGUUUUCUAUUUGAGGUUCCUAUGUGCGUAUUGCAAGUGAUUAUUAACAAUUCAUAAUACUGAAAAUUUUCAAUGAAGAGUAUAAACAUGGGGCAAUCUUGAACGUGCCUCUUAACACAUUCUAUAUGUAUAAUUGCCCAAUCCACCACUCCUUGGCGUAGCCCUGGCAUUGUCCCUCAACCUGCACAUCUUUACAACUUGAAACAUGAAAAAACUUUCGUAAGUCCAUAAGAACUUAGUAAGGUAAUAUCUCAUUACCUAUUUCAUUAUGCCUUAAUGCUUUAGAUGCUUUGCAUAACCUUCAUGUACCCUUUGAUAUUUCUUUUCCCUCUAGCGGGUACUUACAGGGAUUUUCCUCCUUUCAUGUGAUUGUCCUUUCUUAGCUGAGCUCAUUUCCUUUCUCUUAAUAUUGUUAAGGACUUACUUUCCACUCUAAAUCAUUAACCAUUUCCUUGUCAUUUUCCAGUAUACAACCCAUUAUCAUGAAAACUAUUUUUUCUUAUGAAUGUAUGAUCUACCGUAAUUUAAGGUAGCGGAUUAAACUAGUUUUCACACUUUAGGAGCUUGAACAUAAGAAUUUCAGUUAGGUUUUAAGUACAUUUUCGUAAAGUUUAGUUAAGUUUAAUAUAGUGUGUAAUUUGAAUAUUUUAUUGACCUUAGGGGCAAAAUGGGGCCUAAAGAUUAGCUAAUACACUUUGGGAGCGUGUAGGAGACCAUUAGAAGGUGCGAUAACUCGAUAUUGGUCACUAGGUUACAACACGGAGUAGUAGAUGUCGCAACAUAGGGAUCAGAAUAGAAGAAUUCCAAGAUUACCUUCAAUGUCACGAAAUAGCCUGAGGAUGUAGCGACAUACCCAUGAAAACACUCUGCAGUUGAGCAGAUUCCCUCGAUGUCGUGACACAGGACCUGGUAUGUUGCGACAUCACCUCUGUAUGAGAAAUAAUUACGAGCCAGGAGUGUUUUGAUCCGUACAAUCAAUUGUUAAGCACGAGAAUGGCAGUUGACCUAGGGUUGAGGCCAACGACCACCUUAAAGUCUAUAAAUAGGCUCAUUUAACACAUGUUGUAGACACUUUCAUAUUGUAUAAUCUUCUCUUUUGAUUUAGUAUUUAGUCUUUCUCAUUUCUUAAGUUUUAGAUUUUAUUUCUGUUCUUGUCAUUUGCUUUUGUGGAGAAAUUAGGUUUUGGGAUUACUGUCAAACUCUAUGAGGAUUCAACACUUAAUUUUAAUACAAAUUAGACUCCUUCUAAACUAUAUUCUGUUUGUUCUUUAUGUUUAUUCUUUCUAUCAAGUUUAUAUUGUUUAUUAGAUCCAUGAAGAACUAAUCCUCCUGUGGGGGGAUUAACGAGUGGAGGUAUGAUUAAUUAACUAUGUAGGGGUUUCUUAGCGGAUCAGCUGUUUAGGAGAGGUAGAACCUAAAACUGUAGGCCUAACAACCUUAGGAAAUCAUUAAGGUGGGAAUUAACCCAGAUUUGGUAUUGUCUAUCCUUGAAGACCUUAAUCCUAAAUCGGUCUAGACUAUCAAGUCGAGAGAUAAGUAGUUCUUGCUGGCUCAAUAUGUUAGUGGAAGAUUGGAAGAUCUUGUUAGGGUAUUGACUAGUAGAUAUAAUAAGAAAACAUGAGACGACAAUUGGUUAUGAUUACUGAAGCGAGCUAAUCACCCAUGAUCAGAUUUGAUAUAUUUUACUCUUUGAGUUCUCGGGUUUCAUUGAUUUCUUUACUUUCUUUUAUUUAUUCUUUUUAGUAUAGUUUACCAAAACCCUUCUUUUGAUUCUUCGAAGUAUAAUCCAAUUAAAGUACUACUUAGAUCUAUUUAUGUUUAUAUUAGAAUUAAUUUAGUGCUUACCUCUCUUGGGUACGAUCCUCGAAGUAAUUAUCAACUUCGUUGUAACUAUAUUACAACCUGACUCGUAUAUUUUCAGAUGUGCUUUUCACAUCUUUUGUGCAGGAUUUCGACGCUGGACGUUGGUAUGUCCAGAGGCAGUGAAGUUGUUGGCACCAUUGCCUUGGAGGCAAAGUCUCUAUAUUAAUUUUAUUUUUUGCAUAUUAAUAGAAUAACUAGGAAAUGUAUGCAUUACAGAUACAAAAUUUAAAUCCUAAGUUACUAACAUUCCUUAAUUUUUUUUUUAGCUUUAAAAUCCAGGAAAUAUGAUGCAAACACUAGGGACAUUUUUUUAUACAAAUUGGCUGUGAUCUAGUAUUACUUGUCCCAUUAUUUAUAACUCACAUUUUGAGUUAAAUCCUUCUUUACUAACGUGGAUUUCUAACAAUGUCACAUUUAACGAUCCUAAGAUAGAGGAUCCUAUAGUAUUUCUACGACAAUUUGAAUAUAUAUGCAGCAUUGUCGCUUAUGCAGGAGUACCGCCAGACACUAUCAAAUUAUUACUAAUCUCGUUUACAUUGGAUGGAAAAGAGAAAGCUUGGCUAGAUGCACUCCCACCUGAUACUAUCACUACCUAGAUUGAUUUUGUGCAACUAUUUCUUUGUCGGGUCCUCUUUAUGACUCAGGUACUCAAUAUUUAUGAAAAAUUAUUUCAAUUCAAACAAUAAAUUACUAAAACAUUGGGACAAGCUUGGGAAGAGUUGACACUAUUUCCAGAUCAAUUUUUGGAGAAUGCUUACAUUUUGCGGUUCAAAUUCAACAUUUUUAUGACAGAUUGAAUAGUCAGAAUAGGUGAAAGUUUGAUUGUAACUGCCCGUUUUUAGUGGUUUUGAGACCACAAAUUUGAUAUGAAAAUAUUUAUUUUAUUAUUAUUUUAAUGUCUACAGCAUGAUAGUAUCAUUGUAUAAAAAUUUCAUUAAGCAAUUUUAUCGUUUGCAUGCUUAAUUCGAUAAAAGGACUAAAUUGCAAAAGAUGCAAAGUUAGAGUUCUAUAGGUUAAAAGCACUAGAUAGCUAUGAAACUUAAAUGUUUGAGCACUUGGAUAAUAAAUAAACCAUUUUUAGUUUGAGUGGAAAAUUAUGGACAUUAUACAUGUGUUUUCAAAGGUUAAUUAAAAGGUUAAAUAAGUAAAUAAAUAAAUAAACUAAGUAAAAAUAAAGUAAAAUAAAUUGUUAUCUUCUAAACUACGUUAGUUCACUGAAAUUUAAACUUAGAAAAUCCAUGGUAGGAUCUUAAAGGUUCGACCAACACAUAUUUUCUUGCAUGUGAGUAUUUUUCAUCCCGUUCUUAAUGAUUUCUAUGUUUUUGAAGUCGUUAUAGCUUAAUCUAACUGGCCCGGGGAUUAAUUUGCAAAACUGUUAAAAGUCUAGGGAUUUACCAUGAUGUGUAUUUAUUGUUUUUUAUGUUUGAUGAAAGAAAAUGGCUAAUUGUUGUUAGAUAAACAACUUUUAUUUAGUGAUUUUUGAUAAAAUUGUCAUUUUGGAAUUAAAUUGAAAAAUGUGAAAUAUUCAUGGUGUAAUUUGUGAAAUAAUGAAAUGUGUGGGCUGCUAUGAGUUUGUAAGAAAUUCAGCCAGGCUUGGGUACGGGUGAAAUUGCAUGAAUUUCAUUUUAUGAGAUUAAGGACUAAAUUGUAAAGAAAUCAAAACAUUAGAGGCAAAAGGGUAAUUUUGCAAAAAUGUGAAUUUGGUUUGAAUUGAAUAGAAUGGUUGUUAAAUGGAUUGAAUUUAUUCAUUUAAGUCAAGAUAGACCUCGUACGGCUUUAGAUAGAGGCACAGAGAAAGCUUCGGAUUAACCGACUUUAUUUCUACUUUUUAUCGUCGAGGUAAGUUCGUAUGUUUAAAUAGAAUUUUAAAUUAUUUUAUAAAUGCUAUUAUUUUAUAAUAUCAAAUUGUGUCUCGAUGGAAAAAUACAACGACGUAUUGACGGUCAUCGACCAAUGAAAAGGGAUGGCUUCAGCUAUCAAAAUAUGGAAAGGGAUAGCUUUAGCUAUCAAAUUAUGAAAAGGGAUGGUGAUGACCAUCAACAAAGAAAAGGGAUUAUGACAACCAUCGAAUUAUGAAAAGGGAUGGCUUCAGCUAUCGAAUUAUGAAAAGGGAUAACUUCGUCUAUCAAAUUAUGAAAUAGAUGGUGACGACCAUCAACAAUGAAAACGGAUGGUGACGACCAUCGAAUCAUGAAAAUGGAUGGCUUCAACUAUCAAAAUAUAGAAAGGGAUAGCUUCGGCUACCGAACUAUGAAAAGGGGUGGUAACAACCAUCGUGAUUUUAGUUUGUGUAUGCUUCGGUAAGAGUUUUUGAUGCAAUUUACCUUAUUACUAUAGAAGGUAGGAAAUAUGUGUUUUCAUAACAAUGAAAAGUAUCGAUUUAUAUGAUUUAAGCUUAUGAAUAAUUUAUUUCUCAUGUUGGAUUAGCAUAUAUUUUUUAAGAUUGUGUAUUGUGUUGACAAUUAUAGAUUAUAUGUUACAAACUUACUAAACAUAACAUGCUUACUUUGUGUUUAUUUUCUAUGUUUUGUAGUUAAUCGAAAGCUCGUUCGGGUUGGAAAGUCGUUGGAGAUCUAUCACACUAUCCAUCGACAUUAUCGGUAGAUUUUGAUGAUUUUGAGUCAUGGUUAUAAUGGCAUGUAUAGGUGUCUAUGCUUGAUGAAAUAGCCAUUAUGUUUGGCUUGUAAAUGUGGUAUUUUGGAUAGUGAAUUUAGUUGUCAUGUUGGCUUGUAUUUAUAUAUAUAGCCUUAUGACGGUUGAUAAUUUGACAUUUUGGUACUUGAGUGGUAUGUGUUGGAAUGAUCAAUUGAAUACAUGUUAUGAAUGGCCAUUUUGGUAUGUUUGAAUAUGGCAAAUGUAGUAUGAAAUGAUAUGGAAUUUAGGUUGCAAAUGUUAAGUUGAUAAUGACUAGAUUAUACUUGUGUUUGGAUAUGCUUAAUUACAUGUAAAUUGAGGUGCGUUAGGGCAUAUUGGUUGGAUGAUAAUUAUACACAUUUUAGGUACAAUUUUAAAGCUUGAAUUUGGUGUAUUUGAGUUGCACAAGUAUGCACAUUUUGGGUGAAAGAAUUGGAUUGAAAAUAGCCUAAUUCUUGUCCACACAACCAGAAACACGGGCGUAUGUCUUAGUCGUGUGUGACACAUAGCUAGGAGACACGACUGUGUGUCCCCUAUAGCUUACUAAGGCUUUCAAGUCUGGCUGUUGUACAGCCUAGCACAUGGCUUGGCACACGGGCGUGUGAGGCCGUUUCAAAGGGUACAUGGCCUGGCACACAGGUGUGUGGCUUGGCCGUGUGACCCAAGUCAGAGAGUUACACGGACAAGGACAUGGCUGUGCGUCCUUACUUUGAAUGUCCACACGGCCUGACCAUACGGCAGUGUGACCCCUAUAGUUUGAAAAUUUUUAACUUUUUCUAAAAAAUUCCAUAAGUUUCUAAUUUAGUCUCGAUAUGUUUCUAAAGUAUUUUUAGGGCCUCGAGGGCCCGAAUAAGGGACAAUAUGUAUGUUUUUGUUUUGGUUUUGCUAUGAUUGAUGAAUGAUGUUAAACGUUUAAAAUAUUUGGUUGUUUGAAAUCAUAAAUUUCGAUAAUACUCCAUACCUUAUUCUGGCGACGGAUACGGGUUAGGGGUGUUACAUUGAUAUCAUGACUGGAGGGAGUAUUUGGAAGAAAACCGGGAAGGAGGUAAUGGAAAUAUUAGAAAGAUUAUGUGAAAAUGAAUUUUGUUGGGGAAUACAUCAAGAAUUAGAAGUAGAGGAAUUGGGAGAAAGCAAAACAGAUGAGUAAAAGUGCAAUAAACUGGAGACUAAUACAGUAAAUUUGGCUGAUCAUGAAUACGAAUUAGAAGAAGAAAAAUGGGAUGAUACUGAACAGUAAAAUGCUCAGACAGCUAUUCAGCUAGAUUGGAGACGUCAAAGUAAGGGAUAAUUAGAACAAAUUAUUUUAAGCAUAACAAAAAUGACACUGUUUAUUAUUAAACCUUCGGAGUUAAAAUUAAAAGCUUUACUGAAACACUUAAAAUACGAAUAUUUGGGGGAGAAAAAUACAUUACCAGUGAUUAUAGCUACCGGGCUAAGUUCAAGAAAAGAAGAUGCUUUAUUAAGUGUUUUAAAAACACAAAAAAGCCAUAGGAUGGACAAUCACUGACAUUAAGGAAUCAAUCAUGCGCUAUGUCAACAUAAGAUUAGAUUAGAAGAAGGGAAAAACAUGUAGUGGAUGCACAACGCCGGCUUAAUCUAGCUAUGAAGGAAGUGGUAAAAAAAUUAGAUGCAGGUAUUGCUUAUGCUGUUUCCAAUAGUGAAUGGGUUAGUCCUACGAAGUGUGUUCUAAAGAAAGGCAGGUUGAUAGUAGUUGAAAAUGAUAAAAAUGAAUUGAUUCCAACAAGAACAGUUACUGGUUGGAGAGUGUGCAUGGACUAUUAGAAAUCAAAUGAUACAACAAAAAAAGAUCAUUUCCUACUUCCUUUUAUUGGUCAAAAGCUUGAUAGGUUGGUAGGGAAGCAUUAUUAUUGUUUCCUUGAUGGAUACUUAGGAUACCAUCAAAUCCCAAUACAUCCGGAAGACCAAGAAAAAACUACCAUCACAUGUCUUUUUGGUACUUGUGCUUUCAGAUGAAUGCCAUUUGGGCUUUGCAAUGCCCCAGCAACUUUUGUGAGAUGUAUAACUGCUAUUUUCACUGAAAUGCUGUAGGAAGGAUUGGACGUGUUUAUGGCUAAUUUCUCGAUAUAUGGAUAUUCAUUUCAAGAAUGUUUGGACAGCCUUGAAAAAGUCCUGCAAAGAUGCGAAGAAACCAACCUAGUACUGAACUGGAAGAAUGUCAUUUCAUGGUCAAGGUGGGAUUGGUUUUAGGGCAUCAAAUAUCGAGAAAAUGUGUAACAGCCCGAUUUUGGGACUAGUCGAAACAGUGGUUUCGAGACCACAAAUCCGAAAAGAAAAAAUAUAAUUAUCAUUAUAUUUUUAUGGCCUAAAAUUUCACGGAAAAAUUUUGUGAAAAUUUCGUUUGAAAAUUUCGACGUUUGGGCACUCAAUUUAGUCAAAAGGACUAAAUUGUAAAAACUGCAAAAGUUGAGUUCUAUUUAUUAGAGGUUUCAAUUGCUAUGAAACUUUAAAUUGGAGGUCCUUAUGUAGAAAUUAGAUAAUUAUUUAAUUGAUGGACAAAAAUGGGCAUAGAAUUAGUGAAAUAGAUUUUUUUUAGGUAAGGGCAUUUUAGUCAUUUGGUUAUAAAGAGAAAUAAAAUGGGAAAAAGAUGGAAAAAUGGUGUCAUCUUCUCUAUAGUUGCUGCCGAAUUUUAAGGGACACCAUAGCUAGGGUUUCUUUGCUUUUUCAAGCUCAUAGUAAGUGCAUCCUAGCCCCGUUUUUAAUGUUCUUCGCAUUUUUGAGAUCCUCGUAGCUCGGUUUAGCUAUUUCUACCAUUAAUUCAUGUUAGGGUUCAUAUUUGGAAAAAUACCCAUAGGUGAAAUGUGUUUAUUUUGCUGUUUUAUGGUAGAAUAUGAAGCUAGGAAUUAUGUUAAACAACUGUUGCCAAGCGAUUUUAAGUGAAAACGGGUAAAUCGACAUAAUCGGUAAAAAUAUUUAAUGUUCAUAAGUACAUGUUAGAGUGAGAAUUUGGUAUUUCCCUAGAAGGAAAAAGUGUUCAGCAUGUUGUAAAACAUAAGAAUAAGGAGUGAAAUUUAAUUUUCGAGCUUGGGGAUAAAAAUUUAAUUAUGCAAAAGUUUAGGGACAAAAUCAUAAUUUUGACAAAAGUUGAGUCGAAGCUUGUUUUAAAAAAUGUGAAUGUUGAACAAGCUCAAGUUGUUGUUAUAGAUCAAGAAAGACGAGAAGUCAACCUUAAUCGGGGAAAAUAGAAGAUUGGGGAUUAAAUUUCAAAAUCUUUACAUUUUGUAUCGAGGUAAGUUGUAUGUAAUUAAUACAUUGUUAUAAUUAUUUUUGUUAUAUUUCGUUACAAUAUAUGCGAAAGGUUUGGAUAUGAAAUAGUUAUAUUAAAGUUAGAAAUUUGAAAUUGAUAGUUGAUUUUUUUAAAAUCAGCUUGGCUUAUGGAUAUACCAACUGCAAGUAAUGGUUGAAGUGAUUUAAAUCGAAUUAUUAAAUUGGUUAAGGAGUUGAGUGAAAAGAUUGAUAUUAUAAUGUGCUAUGGAGAAAUUGUAAAUUAUUAGAAAGUAAGAAUCUUGUGGAACUGUCGGAAUGGUAAAGAUUUGAAUAAGGUAUCGAUGAACACAUGUGUAGUAUUGUGUCAAGGCUACUACGUGUAUCGACAAAUAAUGGUCACAUGUGUAGUACUAAGUGAAGGCUACAAUGUGUACCGAGAAGCUUUGGUCACAUGUGUAGUACUGUGUGAAGGCUACUACGUGAAUCGAUAAAUGAUGGUCACAUGUGUAGUACUAAGUGAAUGCUACUAUAUGUACCGUAAAGCUUUGGUCACGUGUGUAAUACUAUGUGAAGGCUACUACGUGAACCGUAAAACUUGAUCACGUGUGUAUUACUAUAUGAAGGCUACUACGUGAACCGUAAAACUUGAUCAUGUGUGUAGUACUAUGUGAAGGCUACUACGUGUAUCGAAUGAUAAAAGUAACAUGGGUAGUACUGUUUGAAAAACCCCAAAUAUUUGUUGUUAUACCGACAUGUUCAAUGAGGUAUGAGUAUGUGAUUGGAACGUGAUAAGUUGCAAAAGAGUGACUGAAGUGACGAAGUCUUGUAUUGUGUUAUAAAAUAAAUGGUUAUAGUGCUAUGUGAAUGAGGGAUGUUGGAGUAGAAUAGAUUUGGACAGUGACAGUGAUGUUAGUUUGAAAAAUCACCAAAAAUUAUAGAAAUUGAGUUAUUGGUUGAAUAAGACAUAAAAUUAAAGCUUAAUGAGUCUACUUUCACAUAAAACAGAAAGAAUGGCAAAGGAGUUAUAUAUUUUGAGAUAUUGGAAUUUUAGUGAGACAAGGUCUGACCGAUUUCGAAAUCCUCUGUUCUAACUUUGGAAAAUCACUAAAAAUUGUAAAAAAUAGUUAUGUUUUAAAAUUUACAUUCUUAAAUUUCUUAUUUAAUUUAUUUUCAAAAUAAAUAAGUGGGAACAUCAUUUGAACUCUGUACUAAGAGAUAACUGACAUUUAGUGAAGAGAGGUCAGAAGCGUCAAGCAGUGAAAUAGGGGAAUCUUUAGAGAAUAAACUGUACUAAUUGGCUAAACCAAAAAUUCUGAAAAUUUUAUGGUAAGAAGGUAUAUGAGUCUAGUUUCAGGAAAAUUUAUGGAUCUUAAUUUGGAGUUUUGUAGCUCUGGAUAAAAAUAAUUUAGUGACUACGAUGCAGAGAAAUAGUUUGCCAGAAAUGGAAUAGAUAAUAGAUUUAUGUGUGAUAAAAAAUAUAUUAUAUAUGGUAUCAUGCUAGAAAUUUAUUUAUCAAUUACAUACAUACUUAAUAAGCUAUAAGCUUACUCUUCUUUAUUUUCCCUUGUUUUAUAGUGAUAUUAAUCAGCUCAGGAAUUGGACGGGUAAGAAAAUCAUCCACACUAUCAUCAUCAUCUUUUGGGUAUUUUGCAACCAAUACUUUGAAAAAUGGCAUGUAUAGAUGACUCAAUGUAAUGUGGUAUAAAUUUAUGUAUACAUGUAUAAAAUAUUGUUUGGUUUAAAAUUUUGGUGUGUAUUAAUUGAUAAAUUGUUUCCUUAAACUAUUAACAAAGUAAUUAGAAUGUUGUGGAUGGGUAAAUUGUGUCUGAACAUAUAGUUGUAUUUGGUUGAAAUAUUGAAGUUGUUUGAAAUUGUGUUUCGAGAAUUUGCAGGAGGAAUUGAAUGUUUAUGAAAAGGAAUUAUGUCAAAAUUUUUGUACAAAAAAAAUUUCAAAUAUUUGAUAACACUUCUUACUUUGUUUCGAUGAUGAAUACGGGUAAGAGGUGUUAUAUUUUAGUGGUAUCAGAGCUAUCGUUUAGCCGGUUAACAGAUUAGUAUAAUGUGUGUAAAGUCUAUCUAUACAUGCCAUAAAUAUAUUGUGAUAGUGUGAUGAUUUCUGACAAUUUAAAAUUUUGUUUUAUAUAGUAAAUGGAUCCUAACCUAAGUGUAGCAGAUGAUGUUGAAAGUAACGCGCCGGCUCCCGCGCAAGGGACCGCGCUUGAAGAAAGUAGACAUGAGACGCAUAGUCAGGAUGUGGCUCGGGAAGCCGUCCUUGAUAUGAUGAAUAAUUGGUAUACAUAAUUUGUUCGUGCAAAUCCGAAUGUUCAAGCUCCUCCACCCCCUCCUAUUCCUCAACCGAUUCCCGUAGCUCCACAAAAUGUUGACUUGGUAAGAUCAAGUAAACCUCCCGUUGACAAAAUCUGAAAGCAUGAGGCUAAAGAUUUCAGGGCUAAUAUAGAUGAUGAUCCACAGAAGGUGGAGUUUUGGCUCGAAAAUUCCAUUCGGGUAUUUGAUGAAUUAUCUUGUACCCGAAGAAUGUUUAAAGUGUGCAAUAUCUUUGUUAAAAGACUCAGCGUAUCGUUGGUGGAAAACAUUGGUAUCUGUGGUUCCAAAAGAAAGGGUUACAUGGGACUUCUUCCAAAAUGAAUUCAGAAAAAAAUACAUAAGCCAACAGUUCAUCGAUAAAAAACGCAAGGAAUUUCUCGAGUUGAAGCAUUGCCGAAUGUCUGUGGCAGAGUAUGAAAGAGAGUUUGUUAGAUUGAGUAAAUAUGCCCAAGAAUGUGUACCCACAGAAGCUGCUAUGUGUAAAAGGUUUGAAGAUGGUUUAAAUGAAGACAUUAGGAUAUUUGUUGGAAUGUUGGAACUGAAGGAAUUUGUGGUAUUGGUUGAUCGAGCUUGUAAGGCUGAAGAAUUGAAUAAAGAAAAGAGAAAAGCUGCGAUGGAGGCUCGAGAUACAAGAAAGCGGCCCAUGAGUAAACCAUUUCAAACUCAGUCAAAGAAGUCUAAAGAGAUGAAUCCUCGAGUGACUACUUCAACUGGAUAUCCACGUCGAGACCGGGGAAAAUUGUAUUUGGGUCCCGAAGCUCAAGCUACGUCGGUAUCAAGUGUGGAUAGUGUGAAGCCUAGUAAACCAGAGUGUCAGCAUUGUGGUAGGCAACAUCCUGGUGAAUGCUGGUUAAUUAGUCGAGCUUGUUUCAAGUGUGGUUCUCGACAACAUUAUAUUAAAGAUUGCCCUGAGAAAAUUGAAGAAGAAAAAAUGUCAGAAUGUUAGAUCGAGUGAUACUGUCAGCAGAGGUAGACUACCGAGAAACACAGGAACUAGAGAUAGUGGUAAAAGUGUAAUGAAGGGUACAACUGCAAGACCAGAACCUCGAACACCUGCCAGAGCUUAUGCCAUACGUGCUCGUGAGGAUGCAUCAUCUCCCGAUGUGAUUACUGGUACAUUCUCUCUCUAUGAUAUUGAUGUUGUUGCUUUGAUUGACCCUGGGUCUACUCAUUCAUAUGUAUGUGUGAAUUUAGUAUCUAAUAAAAAUUUUCCUGUUGAAAGCACUGAAUUUGUGGUAAAAGUAUCAAACCCUUUAGGCAAAUAUGUUUUAGUCGAUAAGGUUUGCAAGAAUUGUCCUUUGAUGAUUCAAAGUCACUGUUUCCCGGCUAAUUUGAUGUUGUUACCAUUUAAUGAGUUCGAUGUUAUUUUGGGGAUGGAUUGGUUGAUAUUGCAUGAUGCCAAGGUAAAUUGUAGACAUUAAAUCCUUGAAUUGAAGUGUGAAAAUGGUGAAAUUCUUCGGGUUGAAGCAGAUGAGCCGAAUAAAUUACCUAUGGUGAUCUCGUUCAUGUCUGUUCAGAAGUACAUGAGAAAAGGAUGUGAAGCUUAUCUUGCUUAUGUGUUGAAUACUGGUAUAACUGGGUCGAAGCUUGAAUCAGUGUCGGUAGUCUGUGAAUUUCCAGACAUAUUUCCAGAGGAACUGCCAGGGUUACCUCUGAUUAGAGAAGUUGAGUUUGCUAUUGACUUGUUACCUAGUACUGCACCGAUUUCUAUUACUCCGUAUCGGAUGGCUCCGACUGAAUUGAAAGAAUUAAAAGCUCAGUUGCAAGAAUUGAUGGAUAAAUGGCUCCCUGGGGUGCUCCUGUAUUAUUUGUGAAGAAGAAAGACGGCUCUAUGAGACUUUGUAUUGAUUAUCGUCAGCUCAACAAAGUGACUAUAAAGAACAAGUAUCCCUUGCCGAGAAUUGAUGAUUUGUUUGACCAACUAAAAGGAGCAAUAGUGUUUUCAAAGAUUGAUCUAAGAUCCGGUUACUAUCAGUUAAGAGUUAGGGAGUCAAAUGUGCCAAAGACUACUUUCAGAAUGAGGUAUGGACACUACGAAUUUCUGGUAAUGCCUUUUGGUUUAACUAAUGCUCCGACUAUUUUUAUGGAUUUGAUGAACCAAAUUUUCCGGCCGUAUCUGGAUAAGUUCGUGGUGGUGUUCAUAGACGAUAUUUUAAUUUAUUCUUAGGAUGAAUCCGAGCAUGCCGAACAUUUGAGAACUAUGCUGGAGAUUCUGAGAGAGAAGAAAUUGUAUGCUAAAUUCAGCAAAAGUGAGUUUUGGCUUCGUGAGGUUGGAUUCUUGGGACAUAUAGUUUCAAGUAAGGGUAUUCGGGUUGAUCCAAGCAAAAUCUCAGCAAUUGUUGAUUGGGAACCACCAAAGAAUGUGUCUGAAGUUAGAAGCUUUCUGGGCUUAGCUGGGUAUUACAGACGUUUUGUCAAGGGAUUCUCGAUGAUUGCUUCUCCUAUGACUAAGUUACUGCAAAAGAAUGUCAAGUUUGAAUGGACUGAUAAAUGUUAACAAAGUUUUGAGAAACUGAAGGUAUUAUUGACUGAGGCGUCAGUGUUGGUACAACCUGAGUCAGGGAAGGAGUUUAUAAUUUACAGUGAUGCAUCGUUGAAUGGUCUGGGGUGUGUGUUAAUGCAAGAGGGCAAAGUAAUAGCUUAUGCUUCGAGACAGCUGAAAUCGCAUGAGAAAAAUUAUCCGACGCAUGAUUUAGAAUUGGCUGCCAUUAUUUUUGCUUUAAAAAUUUGGCGUCAUUAUUUGUAUGGUGAGAAAUGCCGAAUCUUCACUGAUCAUAAAAGUUUGAAGUAUUUAAUGAAUCAAAAAGACCUUAACUUACGACAACGAAGGUGGCUCGAACUAAUAAAAGACUAUGAGCUAGUGAUUGACUAUCACCCCGGGAAAGCUAAUGUGGUUGCUGAUGCCUUGAGCAGAAAGUCUUUAUUUGCUUUGAGAGCUAUGAGUACGAGAUUAACUUUAUCAGAUGAUGGUUCAAUUUUGGCUGAAUUGAGGGCUAGACCGUUAUUCCUUCAGCAAAUUCGGGAAGCCCAAAAUAAUGACAGUGUAUUACAAGCCAGGAGAGCUCAGUGUGAAUCAGGUGUUGAUUCAGAUUUUCGAAUUAGAUCAGAUGAUUGUCUGAUGUUCCGAGAUAGAAUAUGUGUAUCGAAAAAUGAUGAGUUGAUUCAGACCAUUUUAUGUGAAGCACACAGUGGUGAUUUGUCAGUUCAUCCAGGUAGUGUGAAAAUGUAUAAUGAUUUGAAGAAAUUGUAUUGGUGGCCGGGCAUGAAAAAGGAUAUCUCAGAAUUUGUAUCAAAGUGUUUAAUUUGCCAACAAGUGAAAGCUGAGCAUCAAGUACCAUCGGGUUUACUUCAACCAGUAAUGAUUCCAAAAUGGAAAUGGGACAGCAUCACGAUGGAUUUUGUGACGGGAUUGCCUCUGACUCCAAGGAAGAAGGAUGCUAUUUGGGUAAUCAUUGAUAGAUUGACAAAUUCGGCUCAUUUUAUACUGGUACGCAUUGAUUACUCACUUGAGAAGUUGGCGAAGUUAUAUGUUGCUGAAAUUGUGAGAUUGCACGGGGUGCCUAAAUCCAUUAUAUCGGAUAAAGAUCCGAGGUUCACUUCGAGGUUUUGGAUAAAGUUGCAAGAGGCCCUGGGUACAAAAUUGAACUUUAGUACUACGUUCCAUCCGCAAAUUGACAGGCAGUCUGAAAGAGUGAUUCAAGUUCUUGAAGACAUGCUCUGGUGUUGUAUUUUAGAAUUUGAAGGCAGUUGGGAGAAAUAUCUACCAUUAGUUGAAUUCGCUUACAACAAUAGCUAUCAGUCGAGUAUACGAAUGGAACCGUACGAAGCAUUAUAUAGACAUAAGUGUAGAACACCUUUGUAUUGGACUGAGCUCAGUGAGAACCAGAUUCACGGAGUUGACUUGGUGAAAGAAACUGAAGAAAAGGUGAAAGUAAUUGGUGACUGUUUAAAGGCUGCUUCAAAUCGACAAAAGUCAUAUGCAGAUUUAAGGAGAAAAGAAAUUGAGUUUCAAGUGGGUGAUAAAGUGUUUUUAAAAGUAUCUCCAUGGAAGAAGAUUUUUAGAUUUAGCCGUAAAGGCAAAUUGAGUCCGCAUUUUAUUGGAUUGUAUGAAGUUAUUGAAAGGAUUGGACCCGUAGCUUAUCGAUUAGCCAUGCCAGCAGAGUUGGAAAGAAUACAUAAUGUAUUUCAUGUAUCGAUGUUACGACACUAUCGUUCAGAUCCUUCACAUAUAGUUUCUCCAACAGAGAUUGAAAUUCGACAAGAUAUGACUUAUGAGGAGGAACCGAUAAAGAUUUUGGCUCGAGAGGUCAAACAAUUAAGGAAUAAGAGUGUAGCUUUAGUAAAAGUGUUGUGGCAAAAACAUGGAAUGGAAGAAGCUACGUUGGAAUCAGAGGAAGUUAUGAGGAAACAGUACCCAAACCUCUUUUUCGGUAAGAUUUUUAAGGACGAAAAUCACUAAGGGGGAGAAUUAUAACAGCCCGAUUCUGGGCCUAGUCGAAACAGUGGUUUCGAGACCACAAAUCCGACGAGGUAAAAUAUAAUUAUUAUUAUAUUUUUAUGGACUAAAAUUUCAUGAAAAAAUUUCGUGAAAAUUUCGUUCGAAAAUUUCGACGUUUGGGCACUCAAUUUAGUCAAAAGGACUAAAUUAUAAAAAGUGCAAAAGUUGUGUUCUAUAUGUUAGAGGUGUCCAAUUGCUAUGAAACUUUAAAUUGGAGGUCCUUAUGUGGUAAUUAGACCAUUAGUUAAUUUAUGGAAAAAAAUGGGCAUAGAAUUAGUGAAAUAGAUUUUUUUAAGUAAGGGCAUUUUAGUCAUUUGGUAAUAAAAAGAAAUAAAAUGGUUAAAAGAUGCAAAAAUGGUGUCAUCUUCUCCAUAGUUGCUGCCGAAUUUUAAGGGACAUCAUAGCUAGGGUUUCUUUACUUUUUCAAGCUCAUAGUAAGUGCAUCCUAGCCCCGUUUUUAAUGUUCUUCGCAUUUUUGAGAUCCUCGUAGCUCGGUUUAGCUAUUUCUACCAUUAGUUCAUGUUAGGGUUCAUAUUUGGAAAAAUACCCAUAGCUGAAAUGUGUUUAUUUUGUUGUUUUAUGGUAGAAUAUGAAGCUAGGAAUUAUGUUAAACAACUUUUGCCAAGCGAUUUUAAGUGAAAACGGGUAAAUCGACAUAAUCGGUAAAAAUAUUUAAUGUUCAUAAGUAAAUGUUAGAGUGAGAAUUUGAUAUUUCCAUAGAAGGACAAAGUGUUCAGCGUGUUGUAAAACAUAAGAAUAAGGAGUGAAAUUUAAUUUUCGAGCUUGGGGACAAAAAUAUAAUUAUGCAAAAGUUUAGGGACAAAAUCAUAAUUUUGAAAAAAGUUGAGUCGAAGCUUGUUUUUAAAAAUGAGAAUGUUAACGAGAAGUCAACCUUAAUCGGGAAAAAGAGAAGAUUGGGGAUUAAAUUCCAAAAUCUUUACAUUUUGUAUCGAGGUAAGUUGUAUGUAAUUAAUACAUUGUUAUAAUUAUUUUUGUUAUAUUUCGUGACAAUAUAUGCGAAAGGGUUGGAUAUGAAAUAGUUAUAUUAAAGUUAGAAAUUUGAAAUUGAUAGUUGAUUUGUUUAAAAUCUGCUUGGUUUAUGGAUAUACCAACUGCAAGUAAUGGUUGAAGUGAUUUAAAUCGAAUUAUUAAAUUGGUUAAGGAGUUGAGUGAAAAGAUUGAUAUUAUAAUGUGCUAUGGAGAAAUUGUAAAUUAUUAGAAAGUAAGAAUCUUUGUGGAACUGUCGAAAUGGUAAAGAUUUGAAUAAGGUAUCGAUGAACACAUGUGUAGUAUUGUGUCAAGGCUACUACGUGUAUCGAUAAAUAAUGGUCACAUGUGUAGUACUAAGUGAAGGCUACAAUGUGUACCAAGAAGCUUUGGUCACAUGUGUAGUACUGUGUGAAGGCUACUACGUGAAUCGAUAAAUGAUGGUCACAUGUGUAGUACGAAGUGAAGGCUACUAUGUGUACCGAAAAGCUUUGGUCACGUGUGUAAUACUAUGUGAAGGCUACUAUGUGAACCGUAAAACUUGAUCACGUGUGUAGUACUACGUGAACCAUAAAACUUGAUCACGUGUGUAGUACUAUGUGAAGGCUACUACGUGUAUCGAAUGAUAAAAGUAACAUGGGUAGUACUGUGUGAAAAGCCCCAAAUAUUUGUUGUUAUACCGACAUGUUCAAUGAGAUAUGAGUAUGUGAUUGGAACGUGAUAAGUUGCGAAAGAGUGACUGAAGUGAUGAAGUCUUGUAUUGUGUUAUCAAAUAAAUGGUUAUAGUGCUAUGUGAAUUAGGGAUAUUGGAAUAGAAUAGAUUUGGACAGUGACAGUGAUGUCAGUUUGAAAAAUCACCAAAAAUUAUAGAAAUUGAGUUAGUGGUUGAAUAAGACAUGAAAUUAAAUCUUAAUGAGUCUACUUUCACAUAGAACAAAAAGAAUGGCAAAGGAGUUAUAUAUUUUGAGAUAUUGGAAUUUUAGUGAGACAAGGUCUGAAUGAUUUCGAAAUCCUUUGUUCUGAAUUUGGAAAAUCACUAAAAAUUGUACAAAAAUAAUUAUGUUUUACAAUUUACAUUUUUAAAUUUCUUAUUGAAUCUAUUUUCAAAAUAAGUAAGUGGGAACAUCAUUUGAACUCUGUACGAAGAUAUAACUGACAUUUAGUGAAGAGAGGUCAGAAGUGUCAAGCAGUGAAAUAGGGGAAACUUUAGAGAAUAAAUUAUACUAAUUAGAUGAACCAAAAAUUCUAAAACUUUAAUUGUAAGAAGGUAUAUGAUUCUAGUUUCAGGGAAAAUUUACAGAUCUUAAUUUGGAGUUUCGUAUCUCCAGAUAAAAAUAAUUUAGUGACUAUGACGCAGAGAAACAGUUUGCUGGAAAUUUAAUAGAUAAUAGAUUUAUGUGUGAUAAAAAUUAUAUUAUAUAUGGUAUCAUGCUAGAAAUUUAUUUAUCAAUUACAUACAUACUUACUAAGCUAUAAGCUUACUCUUCUUUAUUUUUCCCUUGUUUUAUAGUGAUAUUAAUCAGCUUGGGAAUUGGACGGGGUCAGAACAUCAUCCACACUAUCAUUAUCAUCUUUUGGGUAUUUUGCAACCAAUACUUUGAAAAAUGGCAUGUAUAGAUGACUUAAUGUAAUGUGGUAUAAAUUAUAUAUAUGUAUAAAAUAUUGUUAGGUUUAAAAUGUUUGUGUAUAUUAAUUGAUAAAUUGUUUCCUUAAACUAUUAACAAAGUAAUUAGAAUGUUGUGGAUGGAUAAAUUGUGUCUAAACAUAUAAUUGUAUUUGGUUGAAAUAUUGAAAUUGUUUGAAAUUGUGUUUCGAGAUUUUGCAGGAGGAAUUGAAUGUUUAUGACAAGGAAUUAUGUCAAAAUUUUUGUAAAAAAAUAUAUAUUUCAGAUCGUUUGAUAACACUUCUUACUUUGUUUCGAUGAUGAAUAUGGGUAAGAGGUGUUGCAAAAGGCUUGGAAGUUGACAAAGCUAAUAUCGAGGUUAUUAAGAAACUUUUGAAUCUUACAACUAUUCAAGGUGUGAGAAAUUUUUUGAGCCUUGCUGGGUUCUACAAACGAUUUAUAAAAGAUUUCACCAAUAUUUCUAAACCGCUGAAUAAAUUAUUGUAGAAAGAGACACUGUUUGUAUUUGACCAAGAAUGCCUCAAAGCUUUUGAGGUAAUAAAAGAAAAACUUAUUUUUGCUCCUAUAAUUAUUACUCCUAACUGGUCAGAACCUUUUAUUAUAAUGCCCGAUGCUAGUGACUAUGCUAUAGGGGCAGUGCUGGGAUAAAAAAGAAAUAACUUAUUCAGAGCCAUCAUUAUACGAGUAAGACACCUAAUUCGGCACAAUGCAAUUACACUACAAAUAAAAAGGAGAUUCUUGCCGUUGUGUUUGCUUGGGAAAAUUCCGGCCAUAUUUGAUGGCAAAUAGAGUUUAUGUUUGCAUUGAUCAUUCAACAUUAAAAUAUGUCAUGAAGAAAAAGGAAACUACGGCUAGAUUAAAGAGAUGGGUAUUACUGCUUCAAGAGUUCUAUUUAUGAAUAAUGGACAGGAAAGGAAUAGAAAUAAAAAUUGCAGACCAUCUAUCCAGAAUAAAGAAUGCCUCAGAACAACUGGACUUUGAAGAAAUAAAAGAAACUUUUGUUGAUGAAUAGUUGUUCAGAGUAGACGUCUCCAGAACAAACUUUAAAAAUAAUGGCACUUCAUGGUAUGCUAAUUAUGUAAAUUGUAUCGAUAAGGUCGUCUUUCCACCACAUUAUCAUGGCAAAAAAAGAAAAGGAUUAUGCACGAAGAAAAAAAUUAUAUCUGGGAAGAUCCAUAUGUUUUUCGGUAAUAUGCAGAUCCAUUGGUAAGAAGAUGUGUAGCAGAAAAGGACGUAGCUGACAUUUUACAAGGAUGUCAUACAUCCACAUAUGGGGGAAAUUUUGGCGUAGAAAGAAUAGCCCAAAAAGUACUCCAAUCAGGAUUUUAUUGGCCAACUAUGAACAAGGACGCAUAUGAAUUUGUACAAGGAUGUGAUAGAUGUCAAAGAACUAGGAGUAUAUAAAAAAGGGGGGAAAUGCCACAAUCAGGGAUACUUGAGGUAGAGGUAUUCGACGUUUUGGGAAUUGACUUCAUGGGACCAUUCCUAAGUUCUUUCAAGAACCAAUACAUUCUUUUAGCUGUUGGUUAUGUCUCAAAAUGAGUCGAGGUUAUGGCCUUACCUACCAAUGAUACCAAAUCAGUAGUUAAGUUUUUGAGCAAGAAUAUUUUUGCCAAAUUUGGAACACCACAUGCAUUGGUAAGUGACGAAGGAUCCCAUUUUUGCAGAAAACGAUUCGAGAUCGCUUUGGAAAAUUAAUGUGUAAGACAUCAAAUAAAAACAACAUAACACCCCCAGGCUAAUUGUAACAACCCAUUUUUCAGUGGUGUUGGAAACAAUGGUUUCGAGACCGCAAUCUAACAUGUCAGUCUAUAAAUAUUAAAUAAUUAAUAUUUAUGAGGGUUAUUAGUGUCGUCUUAAAUUUUGGUUAAGAAAUUUUAAUGUUUAAGUAGUUAAUUAAUUAAAAAGGACUAAAGCAUAAAAUUUACAAAGUUAAUUUCUAUUAGCUAUAGAGGUAAGUGUGUAACACCUCUUAUUCGUGUUCAUCGCCGAAACAGGGUAAAAAGUGUUAUCAAACAUAAAAUACAUACUUUCAUACAAUUGGAGUUUUUUUUUAUAAAAUUUUUGACAUAAUCCCUUUUACAAAUGUCUAAUCCCUCCUGCAAAUUUUCAAAAUGCAAUCUCAAACCAAUUCAAUAUUUCAACUAAUACAGCUAUAUACUUAAACAUAAUUAAAUCAUUCACGACAUUCAAAGUAACCUCGCUAGCAUUUAAAAAAAACAACCUAUCAAUUAAUAUACAUUAACAUCUUAAGCUAAGUAGUAAUUAGUAUAUAUAUACAUCACAUUAA
rnacentral:lncRNA from 1 species